GGGGCUAUAAAAGAUGUAACAGAUGCAAACUGUAACACAGGGCCAUUAACCCCUUCUCUGCCGGGCACACUCCGUCCCCCACGCCCGCACCUAUUGUCUCCCGCGCUGGAAGCUUUGCGGAAAACCUGGAAAUUUUGGCCAGAAAUGGUGAGAAGAAAAAGCAUGAAGAAGCCGCGGAGUGUGGGGGAGAAAAAGGUGGAAGCGAAGAAACAGCUCCCGGAGCAAACUGUACAAAACCUCGCCAAGAGUGUGGGGAGGCAGGACCGCUAUUCCUGCGGAGCAGGUUAGAACUGAUCUCUUUUAGCCACUCCAGGAAACACAAACCUGGGGACGGACUGACGUGUUACGCCUCUUCUAAUGACAUUUUUUUCUUUUUCUUUUCUGUAGGAGAGAGAGAGACCCUGAAACACGCGCCACCUAUCUUUGUGGGGAGGGAUAAUUGAAGCGCCCUGAGCGUGAGCAUCAUGUGAAAACGUGAUCGCCAAGUUUCUCUCUGGGAAAGGAUCUGGGAUAGAUUAUACCUUGAAGUCUCCGCAAACGCUUUAGUGGAAGAAAUGAAAUUCCACCUCCCUCCCUUCCUCUCUCCCUCCCUCUCGCUCCCUCCCUCCCUCCCUCCCUCCCUUCUCCACGCCCCCCCCCCCCCCCCCCCCCGUCAAGCCUUUGGCAUCAUUAUCCUCAUCACUAAAUCCUACAGAGUUCAGGGCGGAAAGCGGUGCACACCAUUCACUGAACUGGAGUAUUCUAAGGGGUGAAAGUUGAAGAGGAAGAUCCCGGGUCCUCAAUCCAGAUCGCCUCUUCUUAUGUGGAUGUCUCUAAUGACCAGAUUUGAGAUGCACAUGAAGUUGUGUGGAUUUCUCAGCACAGCUUCUGGAACUAAAUUCUUUGCCCUUUCUCUUAUUUUAAUUUUUUUUCUUUUAGAUGCCAGAGCCAGG